rnacentral:lncRNA from 1 species
UCCUCUCCUGUCCUGUCAACGUCCUUGUCGUCGACUUUUAGAGAAUUCCAAUAUUUUUUUCCCGCCUGAACACGCACUAGUUCAUGCUGAGCUGUGGAGACAAGUGUUACACAGAUGAAUGCAAUGAAUUCAUUCGUGUAUUUUACAUUGGCCGUGGGGCUCAAUUUCAUGGGAACAGCCGACGGUACUUUUUGCAUUGAGGUCGGAGAGGUAUCUGCACUGGACAGUGAGAACUGGAUUCGAGCGAAACGGGACAAUUCUCAACCAGAAGUAAAACCCGGUUUAUACUUGUGUAAACAUAAACAUGGCGCAGGCAAAACGGUACGACUCGAGUGCACAGAGGCCCACUUCUUUGACAAAGUCACAAUCGCUCGCACUUACAACUUCUACAUCGCAAGUAACCCGCGAUUGGCGCAAGGGCACAAGCUGAUACUCGGCGACACGGACGUGGGUGCAGCCCCGGAGACUAUGAUCGUGGGCAUCAACCCGAAGCAAAUCGACGCGCCGAAACUAUUGACAAGCGCGUUUUGUAAGGAGAACAGCAAGGGAGUGAUCGAAUUUUCGUUCAAGGAGAUUCUACCGGCGAAAGACAAAGAGGCCGUCGCCACCAUCGACGCGCUCACUGAGUACUUCUGCUGCAACGAUAUAAACGAAUGCAUCUUGAAGAACGCGAAAGAUACGAUUGGGCGGCUCCUCCCCGCUAUGCGAAGGGUUUUAAGUGGAGUUUUAAGCGGAGACUACCUGAAACCGCAGAAGAAAUCGCAAGUCGGGAGGGAACCGAGCAGACAACCGAGCAGACAACCAAGCAGACAACCGAGCAGACAACCGAGCAGACAACCGAGCAAAUCGAGCUCACGAUCGAGCAAAAAACCGAGCAAACAUGGAAGCAGAAACAAUCAAGUCACACCGGUCGCCUCAACAUAUGCCGGCUCCACAAUCAGCCCACCUUCUUCCCCAAAGAGGACCUCCUCGCAAAAGAGCACUGAGCCGGAAAUCUCCGGAAUGGCGAAGCUUCAGGCUGUAAUGGCGGUCUUGCUCAACAAAAUGAUCGAUCCUUGCAUCCUCAUGAGGGAAACCAAAGACAAAAACAAACUCAGGAAAUCCAAAAUUCUUGUAAAGUGUAUUGUCAGUUCCUGA